rnacentral:lncRNA from 1 species
AGCAGCCUUGACAAGGGCAGGUGGCGGAUAAUGAAGUUUGGUGGCAUGGCUUUUAAAGGUUGUGGGAGUUUUGAAGGAGGAGGGAAGAGAAUAAGUUUCAUGGUGCAACCCCACCUCCACCCCAUGCCUGAGUGCUCAGAACUGUACCUGGUGCUGGUGGGGACUCAACAGGUAUUCGUGAAACAGAAAUCUAAUGAAAAGCAGAAGUACACCAUCAAACAAACAGUGACCCUGCCCACCCCAGUGAUUUAGGGGGAUCGCCGCUUUUCAUCUGCAGAAAAAAGCAAAACAAACAAAAAAAACCAACAACAACGACGACAACAAACCAGCUAGAAAUGGACCAGCAUGUGAUGUUAUCCCAAACUCACAUAAAAGUGGAAGGGCAAAAUAAAACUACUAUCUCGCAAAGAUGGGGAAAGAUUAUCACCCACACACCCUCUCCCAGCAGAACACUCUAGCAAGAAAGAAAAUGAACCUAAAAUAUGGCCAACCAGAGAGUGGGUAUCCAACAUUCACUUCCUCUGCUUCUACAAAUUCUGUAGCUGGGUAAAAAGAGAACAAAC